rnacentral:lncRNA from 1 species
GUCCAUUCCCCUGGACACCAGCCCAAGGCAAUGGCUGCCUGCCUGGACCGGGUGCAGCUGCACUUCCUCAGAGAGAGGUGGUGUCUGUCUCCCCACUGUGUGUCUGAUUUGGGGAUGUCGCCUGCCUUGGACAACGGGCCCUGAGCUAACACAGCACAAGCAGAUGCCUCCUGAAAGGUCUCAUGUGCAGAGACUUGGCCAGCCUGGGCUGAACCUGAACUCAUAGCUGGUGCAUGAGAGGUGGCGUGGAGGAGUUCAGGGGGCCCUGAGCCCGCAGCCCAGCAGCCUCUUUGCUGCCCCAGAACCAACCCCAGACGCCCUCAGCCAAGACCAAGGAAGCUGCCCUGUGCCAGC